GACGGUUCAGCGGCCUGUAACCAUGCGCGGCCUGGAGAAGCAGGGCCCGUGUGCUACAGCGGCCCCAUGUGGGUGCGCUCAGCCGGUCCUGGAGACAGGGAAUCUUUUAACUGAGCCAAUAGGGUACUUGGAAUCAUGUUUCUCAGCCAAGAUUGGUACUCCAAGGCAGCCAUCCAUUUGUAGCCACUCCAGAGCCUGUUUGAAGAUCAGAAAGAGCAUCUUUAAUAAUCCUGAACAUUCCUUGAUGGGCCUAGAACAGUUUUCUCAUGUUUGGAUUUUGUUUGUUUUUCACAAAAACGGCCAUUUGAACUUCAAGGCAAAAGUGAAGCCCCCUAGGCUGAAUGGGGCAAAAACUGGAGUGUUCUCCACACGGAGCCCUCAUCGCCCUAAUGCAAUAGGACUGACGCUGGCCAAGCUGGAAAAGGUGGAAGGUGGAGCUGUAUACCUGUCUGGAAUUGACAUGAUACACGGCACACCUGUGCUAGACAUAAAGCCUUACAUUGCUGACUAUGACUCACCACAGAACUUCAAUGCACAGAAUAACCAUCAUAAGCCUGCAGCCCAGGCUGAAGGCACAGCUAAUAGUUGUGACCUGCGGCUGCUCUCAAGGUGUGGGAAAGCACAGCCUUGCCACAGCACCAAGGAGAAACCGAAAUGUCUUGAAGAUAGGACCUCAGAAGAAAACUCCCAGAAGUCCAGAGACAUGUCAGAAAUCCAGCACACUUUGCCAGAGGACGGAGAGAGAGUGGUAGAUUUGGCACUGGAACCAAGCAGAGGUGAGAGCGUAGAUAUGCCUGAAGAUCAGCUUGGCCCACCGGAACUCAAGAGCUUUCUGGAAGAAGGCACCGAUAGACCAAGGAAAGUGGAAGGUGCCUUGGUUCUAGGGGGGAGCAGUGCAGAAACACAGUGGGAUGCUUCCUGCCAUGCCAAGACAGCUGACAGAGUGCCCUGCAGUGUUGUCCCCAACUGGGUGAAGGAGGCUCCUGUAUCCCCUUUACAAGUCCGUUUUACUCCUCAUGCAGAGAUGGAUCUGAGGAAGCUCAGUUCAGGAGAUGCUAGUCAGACGUCAUUUCAAUACUUUCAUUCCACAGAGGAAGCCAAGGCUGCCAUUGAGGAAGUGUUGUCAGCAGAUCCUCGGUCUGUGUACCGACGGAAGCUCUGCGAGGACCGCCUCUUCUUCUUCACUGUGGACAUAGCACAUGUCACCUGCUGGUUUGGUGAUGGCUUUGCAGAGGUUGUGCGGAUUAAACUGGCUUCUGAGCCUGUUCAGGUGGCUGACCCUGAGGAAUCCUUGGUGGCCCUGGGGUCUUGAGAAGCCCACUGCAUUUGCAGAAGCUCCGUUCGCCUCUGGAUGUGUCUGCUCCUGUCAUCUUACUGCUUUGGAGUUCCAGGGGAUGGCUUACCUACCAGCGCUGUGGAGGUCUACGAGCAGAAGGGCCCCCUGGAACUGAAAGGUGUGGCGGAGCUUAACGUGAAGAAGAAGGAGGAGAAGGAGGAGAAGAAAAAGAAGAGGAGGAGGAGGAGGAGGAGGAGGAGAGGGGGGAAGAAGAAGGAGGGGGAGGAAGGGUGGAAGAAGGGGGAGAAGGAGGAAGAAGAAGGAGGAGGAGGAAAAGGACAAAGACAAGGCCAAGAUGCUGGAGGCCAUGGGGAAGAGCAAGAAGAGUGAGGAGGAGAAGAGGCGCUGCCUGGACAAGCGCACGCUGGCGCAGGUGGUCUUUGAAAAAUGCAGGAGAAGUGGCAGAUGGAAAGAAUCCUGAAGAAGGCGUCAGAAACUCACAAGCAGAGAGUGGAGGACUUCAGCCGACACCUGGACACACUCACCAAGCACUAUGAUAUUCCCAAAGUCAGCUGGACCAAGUAACCUCCCCCGGGUGCCAAAGGCAGCAGGCCAGGCAGACUGUUGCUUCCCUCCGUGAUUUCUAGAAUGUUUUCCACCUGGUGGUGCAUCUGCUGAGACCAGGCUUCCCGAGACUCAAUUAAAGGCAGGCUGUCCUCUCACUGGGUUUUGGUUUGGGGUAGUUUCCUUUUCUGUUUAGACAGCAGCAUUGUAGAUUGACAUGCUGAGAUCAUUUCUGGGUGACGGCCAUGGAAAGAUGGUCCCCUUCCCACUCCCCCAUUGCGGCAUCUAUCUUGUACCACAGUGCUAGCUAGAAUAGGAAGCUCCUGUGGACAGCCACAGAAGUUCCCACAGUGCUGCUCCAUUUUGGGCCACCUAGACAUCAGAUUGCAUCUGCAAUACCACAUGAAGCAAGAGCGGGAUACAGGACACAGGUCUCCAGCACAUGGCCUGUCCCACAGUCCACCCAGUGGACUGCCAUGGCAGAUGUUGCUAAUCUCAGUUCUCAAUAAUGGCACCUGGGCUUUUAAGUAUGUGGCAUAAGCCUGGUUGGCAUUCCUGGUGUAAGGACACCAAAUGCCAGAUGUGGCCAGCAGAUGUGGUAUAGUGGUGCAGAUGCUGCAGAGCUGUGGCGUCUGAGGUCUAGGUGGACCACUUGAAGAGUUUCUGCACACACUGUUAAGAGUCGUAGCUUCUUUUGCCAUGGAUACUGAAAGAAUGACAAAUUGAUAGAGCUGACAUGGUUGGAAUAAAGCGAAUAAUGGAGUGUGAAUGUUGUCUGUACUGGCUGUCCAUCACAGGGACACCUUUCCAUUCUGCCGGUGUCCCUGAAGAAUGAAGAAUGUACAGUGCAAAACCACUUCAGUAAGGGAAAAAUUAGAUGCCUUUAUAUUUUGAAGCUGUAUAUGUAUGUGUGUGUGUCUGUGUCUGUGUGUAUAUUAUGUAAUGUGAAUUGGAUGCAUGCAUGUGUACAUGUGCACAUGUAUAGAGGACAACUUAAAGGAUUGACUCCUUCCACCAUGUGGAUCCUGGGGAUCCGAUCCAACUCAGAUUGUGAGACUUGGCUGUAAGUGAUUUUACCCACUGAGCUAUGUCACAAUCCAGAUGACACAUUUAUCCCACCUGUGUUCACACCUAAGGGAGAUGGUGGGCAUACUUGUCUCAAGUGUUUAGGACCAUUGUGGAUUUGGGGAUUUUUCCAGAUUUGGGGAAUGGGGAACACAAUGAUUUUUGUAAUAUGUAAUGAGAUGUAGCAGUAACUGUCACAGAUUUGCAUACAUUUGAUUUCUGAUUGAUUUGCUCCUGUGCACAUAGCCUAAAAUCAUUUUAUAUUAAUUUUUUCUGUCUUUGAAUACAGUGUAUCAAAUACACAAUCUUUUGAAGAAAAACAAAACAAAGCAACCUUUUUAUUCUCUGAGA